UUCGAUUACAAAUGUUACGAAACGAAAAUUCCGGAUGACGAAUUUUCGGAAGCCGAAAAUUCAUUUCUAGACGAAAAAGAUCGAAUUAAAACAAUACUUUUACACAAUAAAUAUAGAAGCGAAUGCCUUCCAUCAGCCGUUAACAUGAAAUAUCUGAUUACGUAUCAAGAAUUACGCUGUUUAUAAAAUUAGAAUAAGAUGUUCUUUAUGUAAUCACGGUUAUCUUUGUCAUUCCGGUGUCUGCAUGCAAAGAUUUAAAUACAUGGAAAUACAACCAAAAUAAGCAUUAACAAGAAACUUUUUUGAUAUUAAAUUAUAAAAAUACAAUGGUGGGAAGCCGAAGAAAGAUGUAUCUUACUUUUUCACUGAACAUUUUAAAUUUUAUUGAUCUUUACAAAGAAACUCUUUCUAUAUUGAUAUGUAUGACUAUUAUGGUAAAUGAAAACGA